CCCAGCAGUUUUUUUUGUUACAUUUAGUUUUUUCUUUAUAUGAUUCUAUUUGUCCAAUAUAUCCAAUCGAGAUUUUAGUUCUGAAGAACUGUUUUGACUUUCUCUCUGCAAUCCUAAUGACCAGAAUAGAGAUGGUAGGUUCUUAUUUGAGGAUAGAUCUUGUUCUAUUAGAAAUCACUUCUCUUUUUGGGAACAACUUUUCUGUGUA